ACCUGGUUGGCUUAGUUGGUGGAGCAUGUGACUCUUGAUCUUGGGGUCAUGAGUUCAAGCCCCAUGCUUGGUA
rnacentral:tRNA from 1 species